CGAAAUCGGUAGACGCUACGGACUUAAAAUCCGYCGACUUUAAAAAUCGUGAGGGUUCAAGUCCCUCUAUCCCCA
rnacentral:tRNA from 2 species